AUGCGCUUCCUAGGGAGGCGGAACUCAGGGGGGAUGCCAGGUGGAGCCGGGGAGCGGCCGCAGCGGGCGAUGGCCCCGGCCGGCGCCGGCCUCUGGUUUGUGCAUCAGCCGCUGCGGGUCGUGCGCUCUUACCUCGCAACCCGCGAACCAGCCUCACGGCCCAGGCCACUCGGGGCGGCUGCCCGUCCAAGGAAAAUACAAAAACGAGCCAGGUUUUGUGGCACAUGCCUGUGGUCCCAACUACACCGGACACUGAGGUGGGAGAAUCGCUCAAGCCCGGGAUCUGGCCACUGCACUCCAGGUGACAUAAUGAGAUCCUGUCUGAAAGAGAGAGAGAGAGGAAGAAGAAGAAAAAAAGAAGGAAAAGGAAAGAAAAAAAGAAAGGGAAAGAAGAAAGGAAAAAGAAAAGAAAAAAUUUUCUCAUGAGGCGUUGUCAGGUUUCCUGAGAUUGGAACUUAGAUAAUUUAUUGGACCCACCACCACCACCCGAGGGGUUUCAGGAGGCGCUGUGAAGUCGAGCCUAGCUGCAUUCUGCAUGGUGUCAGCACCUGCUCUCCUUCCUCUCCAUCACCCGUGUCUGGAAUGAUAAAGAAGAUGAUGUAUGGGAAAGUCAAGUAUUUGAGCUGUACUUGGAGUAAGACCUCCCCUCCCUCUUUCUCCCAACCUUCAAAAAAUUGGAUGUAUUAUUUCAUUACAAGAAUUUUAUUCUUUUACUCAAUAAUAACUUCAAAAUAUAACCUCGAUACAUUAUAAAUGAUGUUGGUAAUACUAAGGACGCCUCUGGCACCCACUUUUAGAUUUCCCUUUAGGUCUGCCCCACAUUCUUUUGGUGGAGCCUCAGAGGCAACCACUCUUCUCUUUCUGGUUGCUGAUCUAUGCUCUUUCAAUGUGACUAGAAGAGCAGAUUCAGCUACAUAGGUAUUUGGGACUUAAGUCUUUGCAUCUUUGGGGGAAUAUUAUCAGAGAUUUGGAUCUAAAAUGCAAUAUAUAUCUACACUGUGGAUUAAAAUGAUCACAUUGGAUUAGUCAAACAUGAGUCACCAUGAUAUUUAGAAUAAAAUAGUUAAGUCAAAGAGACUGCAUUGAAAUAAUGUUGAAGUUCAACUCGCAAUGCUUUAGGAAAUGCAUGCUUUCUGUAUAUUUUGAGUGGAGAAUAUAAUUAUGCUUCAGUAAGUGAGCUACUAAAUUGAAGAAGUAUAAAAAACCACCUUGUGAAAUUGUGAAGUAGAAUAUCAUCUUUUCUUCAGUCUCUGCAAAUAGAUUUUUAAGGUCUUUUUUGCAUGCUCAGUACAGGUCAAUGUCAGAAUCGCUCAUUAUAGUUAUUUGCCUCUGCCUUACUCUGCUGACAAAGCUGAAUCCCAUGGAAACUUGGCUAUUACACUAUAAUUGCAGUCAAACAGUAUUUGGAGCCAUUGUUACCAAAAACUUGAAAAAUUGGGAGUGGCGGAGGAGAAAAGACUGUGCCAGGAACCAGAAAAAAUACUUUGAUUCAAACUUAGGCCGUAUCAUGGCCAUGGGCCAGGGAUGAAAAGACUCUCUGACCAAAGAAGACCUGCAUCAAAGGGAGUGUCUACAGGAUUAUUGAGAAAUGUGUAGGGGAUGGGAUAUUGGUCUUGAUUCUUAAUUUAUAAAAAUUUAUGAAUGCCUUUUUUCACGGUCUUGUAAGGUGAAUAAUGAAGGAGUUAUUCUGAGACUUUUAUAUCUAUGUCUGAGACACUAUCUCAUGGACAUUAUUCAUUGUACAUUUUUCUGUUCUGCCUGCUCUAUCCUACUCCCAAUUUCUGGAACAUUUUUAAACCUUGAGAAAAGUUAAAGGAAUAAUAUGCUUUGCCCAUAGUUUCUUUACUUUCUGUAUCUUUUUUUCCUGACUUCUUAAAAUUUUUCUCCUCAUGACAGCCUACCAUUGAAAAAUUUUUUAACACUGCAGAAAUAGUCCUUAUUGGUUGCAACAUGGACUGGAAGAGGAGAGGUUACAACAGCUCCCACUCCUGGGCCAGCAUCCAGAAAGCUAAAAAGAAACUUUAUUGUGUAUAUUUAAUGUAUACAACAUGAUGUUAUGGGAUACAUAUAGACAAUACAAUGAUUUCUGUAGUGAAGCAAAUUAACAUACCCAUCAUCUCAUAUAGGUACUCUGUGUGUGUGUGUGUGUGUGUGUGUGUUGGGGGGGUCAAGAGCAGCUAAAACCUACUUAUAUAGCAGAAAUUCCAAAUACUGUACAAUUUUAUUAAUGGUAGUCCUCAUGUUGUACAUUGGAUCUCUAGACUUGUUCAUUUCCCCUUUCUGUUACUUUGUAACCUCUAACCUACAUCUUCCCAUUUCCUCUCCCAGCCAUUAUUUUCUGAACCAUUGGAAAGUAAAUUACAAAAACCAUGGCACUUCAUCCCUAAAUAUGUCAUUAUACUUCUCUCAAGAAUAAGAAGAUUCACUUUCAUGUACAAUGCAAUGAUCACAUCUAAGAAAACUAUCAGUAAUUCCACAAUAUUAUCUAAUAUACCAUGUAUAUUCAGAUUGCUAGAGUUGUCUGGAACUCUAGCAGACCAAAAAAGGUUUUUUAUGGCUGUGAGUCUCUUUCAAUCCAGGAGCCAAUCAAGGUUCAUGUUUUACCUUUUAUACCUGGUAUACUUUUAAUCUAGAAUACGAUCUCCUCUCUUGCCCUUUUCCUCUUAUCAAAUUGUCUUUUUUGUAGGAUUGGCAGAUUUAGAAAAUUUAGACAAGGAUGCUCAGUUAAACUGAAUGUCAAAUAAACGAUGAAUCAUCGUUUAGGAUAAAAUGUCCUGUACUUAUACUAAAAGCUGAUUUGUUGUUUAUCUGAAAAUCAAAUUUAACUCAGCAUCCUGUAUUUUAUCUGACAAUUCUGCUUUUUAAAAAGUUCAGACGGCCGGGCAUAGUGGCUCACACCUGUAAUAUCAGCACUUCGGAAGGCCGAGGGAGGCCGAUCGCCUGUGGUCAGGAGUUCAAGACCAGCCUGGCCAACAUGGGGAAACCCCUUCUCUACUAAAAAUACAAGAAUUAGCUAGCCAUGUAUGAUGGUAGGCGCCUGUAAUCCCAGCUACUCCGGAGGCUGAGGCAGGAGAAUCCCUUGAACCCAGGGGGCGGAGGUUGCAGUAAGCGGAGAUUACACCAUUUCACUCUGGCCUGGGUGAAAGAGUGAAACUCUGUCUCAAAAAAAAAAAGUUCAGACCAGUUGUAUUAUAGAGUAGCUCAAAUUGUGCAUUUGCUUGUUUUCUAGUGAUUUGAUUUUGUAAGCAUUUCUUACAAAAAUUUCUAGAUGAUGUUGCAUAUUUCUUAUUGCAUCAUGCUGGGUGGUACAUAACUACUUGUCUCAUUUGUGAAAUUAAGUUUUAUUACUGGCUAAAGAUGGUAGCUACAAAUCUCUCUGGUUAAAAGCACUUUUUCUUUGGUAUUAUUAAAUAAUUGUGGGAUAAUGUCCCAAGACCAGGUGAAUAACCUUUCUCAAUCAUCUUCUGCACAAUAAUUUUAACAUUCCUUAGUGGUCACUUCCUGAAUCAAUUAUUUCCUUGUGGGUUAUGAAAUAACAUUUUAAUGAUAGCAUCCCUUCUACUUUAUUACUAGCUGACAUUCCUCUGUAAAGAAAAAAUUUCCGUCUUUAAUGCUCUCUUUCUUAUAGUAUCACUGUAUACUAAUGGAGUUUUUAAAAUUCAAUUUUUACAAUGUGUUACUGUCAUUAUUCUGUUAUUGUUACAAUUACCCCAGUUUUGGUCAAUGGAAGCCCCUUGCAGCUCUGCUCUUUGGUCCCUUGGAUAUAACCCCAUUUUGUCCUUGCAUGCUUGCUUUCAUCCUAUCAUGAAAAAAUAUCCCAGGCUCAUUUUUGUACUCUUGUUGUCCAGGAGGAAUAAGCCUUUUCCCCAGUGACCUGUGCCAGCUGUCAGAUUUGUGCCUCCCUGCUGCAAAUCCAUUGCUUCUGCCUUGCUCUGUGAUGCUGCUGGAGUUGAAUCUUGUAAACAUGCUUCCUUUGCCAGCUGGCACAGUGGCAAGCUUUAUCAGUAGAGGGCACUGGAGGGACACUGCUGUGCACAUAGAGCACCUUAUGGCACCCACCCUCCAGCUAACUUUCUGCUCAGCUGGCCCGCCCCAUGGUUUUCCUUCUUUGCUGGCCUCAGUCUGCUGGAACCUCUGUGGAAAGUCUCUUGUUUUCCAACAUGAAGCCACCAGUUGGACCACUGUGGACCAGCUCCAAUUCAGGAUAACACAGCAGACUUCUCUGCCAUCCCUUGGGCUGUGGCUGUACCCUUUCCAGUGAAGUCUGAAUCUCAGCUUUGGGGAGACGGCUCCACCUUUUGCAAGUUGUUCCUUAGAUGGGCAAUCUCAGCCCCAUGGUAUUGUUAAUGUUCUCUUUUGUCCUCUCUGGUUUACCCCCCUCUUUCUAGUUAUUAAUGCUUUAAAUUAAAUUUUUCCUGUUCAAA